GGUGGCUCAGUGGUAGAGCGCUUGCCUUACAUGCACGAGGCCCUGGGUUCGAUUCCUCAGCACCA
rnacentral:tRNA from 1 species